UACGUAGGGCGCAAGCGUUGUCCGGAAUUAUUGGGCGUAAAGAGCUCGUAGGCGGCCUGUUGCGUCCGCUGUGAAAUCCCGGGGCUCAACCCCGGGCCUGCAGUGGAUACGGGCUGGCUAGAGGCAGGCAGGGGAGAACGGAAUUCCUGGUGUAGCGGUGAAAUGCGCAGAUAUCAGGAGGAACACCGGUGGCGAAGGCGGUCUGCUGGGCAGUUGCUGACGCUGAGGCGCGACAGCGUGGGGAGCAAACAGG
rnacentral:rRNA from 1 species